CCUCAAGAUGAGAUUUCCCAACUUCGGUUAUAAGAUCCCUCGAAGAUGACGAGGUUAAUAGGUUCGAGGUGGAAGCGUGGUGACACGUGGAGCUGACGAAUACUAAUCGAUCGAAGACUUAAUCAA
rnacentral:rRNA from 1 species